UAUCUGUACAUUCUUCAGAAACAGAAAACGCUCACUUCCCCCACCUCAAAAGGAAACCACCACAACCCAAUCUAUUAUUGCAUGUAGUUCAAAGCCCAUGACAUCUGAGUAUAGUCCCCUCCAUCAGGUUAGGAUGUGGUUUUUUUAUGUUCUGGUCAUCUGCAAACUAAAAAAGCAACAUGUCUGCCCCCUGAGCACCAUAUGCAUAAUGGGAUAGAUACAGGAUAACUGCAAUAAAAUCAACCUUUUAGAAAAGGGAAAAACAGGAAACGGAGCAGUCAUCUUUCCCUAACAAUUAAAAAAAUACUGCUUGGCAAAAAUAGCAAGGUCUCUCUGCUCUGUCCAUAAAUAUAUUCUUUGGUUUUUCUAUUAGGCAACCCCUGCUUCACCUUUCUGGGAGGAACUCCCUUGUCUAAUGUCCUCAGGGGUCCUUGGCAUUUCGCUCUAGGGUGUUUUUAUUGCCCAUUAACCUUCAAGGACACAAGUGGACAUUGGGAAGUGUCCUCUUCUUGAAGGCUGGACAGUCUUGCACUUCACUUCCUGUUAUUGUGGGUUUGGGGCCUUGGGAUUGUUUCAGACAGUUACAGGCUGUUUCAGGCCAGGUUUAGGGUUCUUAUUUGUUUUUGUUUUGUUUUGCUUUUUGGCAAAACAAUUCCCUAAAAAGUUGUAAGUUUCUGGUCUGUUUUCUUCAGUUAUUACCAGGAGAAACCACAAAGAUCUUGUCAAGACAUAUUUAACAAAGAACCUCAUCUUUUACUUGCUGGCCUCUGUGUUUUUUUUUCCGGUUGGGUCUUAAAUGAAUGGUACCCACUUGGGAUUGUUUUAAACUAUAGGCUUGGAUGGGAUAACAGCAGUCUUAAUCUGAUCUUUUUCCUUAGGAUGGCUCCCAUUACUUGGCAGAAAAUUCUUAAGGGAAGGUUCUUGGAAAGGUUGUGAAAACUUUAGCACUUUCCUCAGAACCUUUACUUAUAACUGUUUCAGUUUGGAGUACGGUAGUACAGUAGUUGACUUUUUCAAUUCUUCAGGGCUCCAGAUUGGGGACUUUAUCAAUUUAUUUGGUAGAUAGAGAGCAGUUCUCUCGGCAAAGCUAUAUUGCCUUCCAUCUCUGCAGACUUGCUCACCUUAGCCCAAGCCACAUCUCUCCUGUAGGACUUUUCUGAAAGAGGAAAGGCACAGCCCACACAUGCUAGCAUUCUGAACUUCUACUACAAUUUUCUCUGAUACCUUAACCUCAGUUGGCAUGAAGUAUCACUGCCCCAAACCCUACCUUCUUAACUAAGCCAAUUCCAUUUUUCAGAUCCUUUUACUUGCUGCACCUUACUUCUAGCUACCAAAUUCUGUAUAGGUUAAGAUUCUUCAUUGUAAGUAACAGAAUCAUCUUCAGCUGCUAAACAGAAUGGAUUGAUGGGGGGGGCAGUGUAUAGAUAGCUCACAGAAUCUUUGAGAGGGCUGAAAGAACGGAACUUAGGCUGAGCUUCUAGGAACUGCAUCAUGAGACUGGGCUGCCAAAGAAGCUGCUGCUUUUGGAACAAUCAAGAAGCUUCAUGCUAAAUCAGGAAGCCACCUGCCAGAUUAGGAAGUCAUGAAGUUGCCAGCUCCAGAGCCACACCACCUCUGCCUUGCUUUGUGUCAGCAAAAAUGGAUAUUUCAUGUCCUGCUUCUCUCCCCACGUAACUCAGUUCUGAGUAAAAGUUUCAAAUAUUAAGAAGUCUUUGGUUUAGUUGACUUAGUGCUGUGCAAUAAAUCAAGAAGAAAUUGAUAAAGAGGCAGAGUUAGAUGAUGACCUUCAUCAUUUUCAUGCAAGAUUUUUGUCGCCUGAAAAAGCUGCUAGAGAAGAUCAUCUGUACCCUUAACCACUGGUGUCUCAACUUGAUACCUGAAUAAUUCAUUUGUUUUUUGUUGGAAUUGAGAAACUAAUGUGUAUUAGGUAAAAUGCAGAGUUCCUAUGGGUGAUACAAUGGAAGACUAAUUACAGCUUGUUUUCAAGGUA